GGCGCUCGGCGGCGGCCACGGAGCUGCCGGCCUGGCGGCUGCGCUGCGAGGGCGGGCGGCAGCGCUGGCGCUACCUGGGCGAUGGCGAUGGCGAUGGCGAUGUCGGAGAGCCGCGGGCGCAGACGGCGCUGGAGCAGCACAGCCUCGGGCUGGACACGGGCGCGGCGCUGCCCCCGCUGCCGGCGGACGGCUCGGCCCGGGAGGCGGCCCGCAGGGGGAUGCGGUUCUACGCGGCCCUGCAGGCCGAGGAUGGGCACUGGGCGGGCGAUUACGGCGGGCCGCUGUUCCUGCUGCCAGGUCUCCUCAUCACCUGCCACACGGCCAAAAUCCAGCUGCCGGAGGCGUUCCGGAAGGAGAUGAUCCGCUACCUGCGCUCUGUGCAGCUCCCGGACGGAGGCUGGGGCUUGCACGUGGAAGACAAAUCAACAGUGUUUGGCACAGCACUCAACUACGUAGCCCUGAGGAUCCUGGGGCUCGGACCGGAUGACCCUGACAUCGUGCGGGCCCGUGUCAACCUGCACAGCAAAGGAGGUGCUGUGGGAAUCCCUUCCUGGGGCAAGUUCUGGCUGGCUGUCUUGAACGUUUACAGCUGGGAGGGAAUGAACACGCUUCUCCCAGAGAUGUGGCUGCUUCCCACGUGGUUCCCAGCCCACCCGUCCCGGCUCUGGUGUCACUGUCGCCAGGUUUACCUUCCCAUGAGCUACUGCUACGCCAAGCGUUUGUCAGCAGAAGAGGACGAGCUCAUACGGAGCCUGCGACAGGAGCUGUACGUGCAGGACUAUGCCAGCAUAGACUGGCCAGCGCAGAGGAACAACGUGGCUGCCUGUGACGUGUACACCCAGCACAGCUGGCUGCUGGACACUGCCUACGCCAUCAUGAACAUGUAUGAAGCCCACCACAGCACUCACCUGCGGCAGCGAGCCAUCGCAGAGCUGUACGACCACAUCAAAGCUGAUGAUAGAUUCACCAAGUGCAUCAGCAUCGGACCAAUUUCCAAGACCAUCAACAUGCUGGUUCGCUGGUUUGUGGAUGGGAAGAACUCCCCAGCUUUUCAGGAGCAUGUUUCCAGGAUCCCGGAUUACCUCUGGCUGGGCCUUGACGGCAUGAAGAUGCAGGGCACAAAUGGAUCCCAGCUCUGGGAUACUGCCUUUGCCAUCCAAGCCUUCUUGGAGGCAGAAGCCCAGAAGAUGCCUGAAUUCACGUCCUGCCUCCAGAAUGCCCAUGAGUUCCUGCAGUUCACCCAGAUCCCAGAGAACCCACCUGACUACCAGAAAUACUAUCGCCAUAUGAACAAGGGUGGCUUCCCCUUCAGCACGCGGGACUGUGGCUGGAUCGUGGCAGACUGCACAGCAGAGGGGCUGAAGGCGGUCAUGCUGCUGCAGGAGAAGUGCCCCUUCAUAGCCAAGCUUGUGCCCCCUGAGCGCCUCUUUGAUGCUGUGAAUGUGUUGCUGAGCAUGAGGAACUCGGACGGAGGCUUUGCCACAUACGAAACCAAGCGAGGAGGCCACUUACUGGAGAUGCUGAACCCCUCGGAGGUGUUUGGUGACAUCAUGAUCGACUACACAUACGUGGAGUGCACCUCGGCUGUCAUGCAGGCACUGAGGCACUUCCAGAGCGAGUUCCCUGAGCACCGCACCCUGGAGAUCAGGGAGACCCUGCGGAAGGGCCUGGAUUUCUGUCGCAAGAAGCAGCGAGCGGAUGGGUCCUGGGAAGGGAGCUGGGGGGUUUGCUUCACCUAUGGCACCUGGUUUGGUCUGGAGGCGUUUGCCUGCAUGCAGCACACGUACCGUGACGGGGCUGCGUGUCGAGAGGUGGCCCAGGCCUGCCAGUUCCUCGUCUCCAAGCAGAUGGCAGAUGGUGGGUGGGGAGAGGAUUUCGAGUCCUGCGAGCAGCGCACGUACGUGCAGAGUGCUGAAUCACAGAUCCACAACACCUGCUGGGCCCUGCUGGGGCUCAUGGCUGUCAGGUACCCUGACGUCGACGUGCUGGAAAGGGGCAUUAAAGUGCUGAUUGAUAAGCAGCUGCCCAACGGGGACUGGCCUCAGGAGAACAUCGCCGGGGUGUUCAACAAGUCGUGUGCCAUCAGUUACACCUCGUACCGCAACGUCUUCCCCAUCUGGGCGCUGGGCCGGUUCUGCCGCCUGCACCCCGACAGCCCCCUGGCUGGGCAGCUGCGAGCAGGGCAGGCUGUGCAGGAAACUCUGUCUGCCUGAACCUGGGCCACUGGGAGUGCCAGGGCCUUGGACUUGGCUGGGGUACCGGCAGCUGCGUGGGACCAUGGGGGUGUGUGCUGUGUGGGAUGUCUCAGUGCUGACCUUAGCACGUGGACUGCUGCCUCUGCCAGGGAUGGGUGCUGCCCCGGGGCUGCAGAGCCUCUGCUUGCUGUUGAACCUCUUCUAAACAUUCCCUUUUUAAGGUUUUUCCCAGGUAUAUUCUCCAUCCCGGGAUGGGGAGUGAAGUGCCUUUUCAGAGCAUUUGGAAGAUCUGAGAAAACUGCCAAGCUGUGUUGUGUUCCACAUCUGGACAGAGGAUGGCACCUGGCUUCCCAGCACCUCAGAGUUGUUUCCAGCCACAACUGACUGUAUUUCUGCACUUCUUUCACCUGUUACCAGAGGCUGAGCUGGGCUGAAUACUCUGAGACUCCUCCCAGGGAUCUACCACAGUGUUUUGGUCUCCGAUUUCAGGAUCUGAGAUCCCAAGUGUCAGCCCACACCACUCUCAGGAUGCUACCUGAGGUUGUGCCAAUGAACUUGGGAAGUUUGCAACUGUGUUGGCAGCCGAGGGGGCUCCUUCUGCUGCCGUGGGCAGACACAGCAGGGAAGGGGUUGCUUAGUUUUUGAGCCAUUCUCGAAGUUCCUGUCCAACUGUCUUGGAUACUUUGGAGCAUGGAUUCCUUCUGAUCUGGGGCAGGUUGGCCAGGCUGAGGGAGGCCCCAGGGUACGUGGUAAGGUGACACAGGGCCCUUUGUGACACAAUGGGCAUCACCGAUGGGAUGGAACGGGGCAGGGUGUCGCAGGGGUCUUUGUGACAUGGGAUGAUAUAAGUACUGGUGUUGGUGUGGCCCUGCCUCAGUUGUCAUCAGAGCACGCAACGGGACAGACAGGACAGAGCGGUGCUGUGCGGAGCCCCCACGCAGCCAACUCCUUCCUUGCUGGCCCAGAGCUUUCCAAGGCGUUGCUCUUGCAGGUGCCCUCGAGGCCAGACUGCGGGACUUGCUGACCCGUAGCCUCCCGAGGUUUCCCCCACCCUUUCAGAAGGCGCCUUUGAGGCCAAACCGCAGGACUUGUUAACCCGGAGCCUUUACAAGAACCCUCCCAUUCUCGUGGCAAGAGCCCUUAAGUCCAGACUGUAGCUCUUCCAUGGCUCCUCUCCUGCUGGUGCCCUCAAGGCCCUACUGUGUGACUUGGUAAUCAGUAGCUUUUCUGAGGUUUUCUGGUUGCAGUUGCCCUUGAGACCAGACUGUGGAGUGGUGUGGAGACGCGUGAGCCUGUUUGGGAUGAAGAAGGUGAAGAAGUGUCUGGGGGUUGCCCCAGCUCGGCGGCCUGAAAAUAUGGAGUGGUUCCAGCUGCUGCCAGAGGGUGAGUGGCAGAGCUGG